rnacentral:rRNA from 1 species
UACAGAGGUCUCAAGCGUUGUUCGGAUCAUUGGGCGUAAAGGGUGCGUAGGCGGCGCGGUAAGUCGGGGUGUGAAAUCUUGGAGCUUAACUCCGAAACUGCAUUCGAUACUGCCGUGCUUGAGGACUGGAGAGGAGACUGGAAUUACGGUGUAGCGGUGAAAUGCGUAGAUAUCGUAAGGAAGACCAGUGGCGAAGGCGGGUCUCUGGACAGUUCCUGACGCUGAGGCACGAAGGCCAGGGGAGCAAACGGG